CAAUAGCGUAUAUUAAAGUUGUUGCAGUUAAAAAGCUCGUAGUUGGAUUUCUGGUAGGAGCGACCGUGCCGAACUUGAUUGUUCGAGUAUUGUGUUGUCUUCAGCCAUCCUCGUGGAGAACUUUUCUAACAUUAACUUGUUGGGAUUGGGACCCGCGUCGUUUACUGUGAAAAAAUUAGAGUGUUUAAAGCAGGCAUUAGCUUGAAUACAUUAGCAUGGAAUAAUAAGAUAGGACUUUGGUACUAUUUUGUUGGUUUGCAUACCAAAUUAAUGAUCAACAGGAACAGUUUGAGGAUAUUCGUAUGACCAUGUCAGAGGUGAAAUUCUUGGAUUUUGAUCAGACGAACUACUGCGAAAGCAUUUAUCAAGGAUGUUUUCAUUAA
rnacentral:rRNA from 1 species